rnacentral:lncRNA from 1 species
GCCCCACCUCCCAGGUGACAGACUCCCUGGCGUGUCCAUCUCCACACCAGCAUGUCCUCUCCUGCAACGCGGUGGGACUCCGUCUGGAUCCGGGAUUCGUUGGAGGCCAGGAACUCCACAGCUCGGUCCCAGACACGCUUCAUGCGCCUCCUGCAAUGAGAGGGACGGGGCUCUGCCUGGCACUGCCGAGGUGAGCCAGCCUGUGGAUGCCCCUCCUACAAAGGGCACACAUUUCCAGGCUCUGGCAUGGAAUUUAUGUAAGAGAGGAAAAGCUGGCAGGUACUAACAUGACAACUGCAGAGGAGAAAAACGUCUUGGGCCAUAGAGAAAUGAUUCCUCAACCUUCACUGAUCCAAACACAUUCAAUUAAAGGGAGCUAAAGGGCCGAGGUGUCUGGAGCACCCCCAGGUCUCCAGGUGUGCAGGGCUGUGCUAGGCUAGCUGACUCUUGCUGGGACCUGUUGCCUGCGCAGCCCUUGCCAAGCCAGUUCCAGUACCCCGCCAACUGCAUCUUGAUGCUGCUCUGGGUGGGCUCAUUGAAGAGUGAGCACUGGGCUGUUUCAUCUAAGCUCCACAGCACUCCAGGGGAUGGGAUGAGCUAAGCAUCAGACGGGGGAGGCCAAGAAGCUGGAGCUGCUCUAGGGAACCAGAGCCACAACGGAGGGCCCCUUCAGUGGCCAGAGUCCCUUCUCUGCUGGGUCUCUAGGGCCUUGCACCCCCCUGGACAGCCUUCCCCUCAUCUCUUCUUCCCCCCUUCCAGACUGGACAAGAAGGUUCCAAAGCCAUGGGGGAGGGUCACUUUGAUCUUCUCCCUUUGUGAAGCAUGGUAUUGCACAGCCCCCAGCCUUUUCUCAUCACUGCAGCCCACCUCCCCAUGACACCACACGUGGAAAGACAGUGACUGUGAGUGUGUACGCAUGGGAGCAGAAGGGGAGGACAAACGGAGGUGGCCAGUGAGUCAGGAGGCGGGGGGGGGGCUAGGGCUUCCCCAGGGGUCAGGACCUGUCACCAACCAAACCCCAUGGGCCUAUUCAGCAGCCCCAACUUGGCUGGUCUGGCCGAGGCCACACAUUCCCUGGGGACUGAGCUCCAAGGUGCUGGGUCCCUGAGCAGGAAGCGGCCAGUGUUGAGUGGGCAGUGUCUCACUCCAGCCCCUCCUUCCCAGGCCAGUUCUUCUCAUCUCCCUCAGUCUUUCCCAAGCAGGCCCUCAUCUACAGGGCAGACCUGACUGGCUAGCCAAUGUCUCCUGACGUGGGGAGCUUGGCCUGGACUGACUGGGUGGCUUGGGAGGUAAGUCAAGAGAGCAAACAGAGCAUGGGCGUCUGGGGUUCACAUGGCUCUGACCCUGAGGGCCGGCUACCUGAGUGGCAGCAGCUCUGGGUAUCUAUGCUAAUGCACGAAGGCUUGGGUGGUAGCUCCGGCUGCAGGCAAGCUGCAGUGCCGUCUCAUGCUCUUAUUUAAGCAAAUAUGUGUGUGGAAUAUCAUUUAAGCCCAAGGCAUAAUGGCUACCCUUGGAUGAUGCCCACGUGCUAGGCACUGACUUUUUUUUUUUUUUUUUUUUUGAGAUGGAGUCUCACUGUGUCACCCAGGCUGGAGUGCAGUGGUGUGAUCUCAGCUCACUGCAACUUCCGCCUCCCGGGUUCAAGUGAUUCUCCUGACUCAGCCUCCCGAGUAGCUGGGACUACAGGUGACUGCCACCAUGCCCGGCUAAUUUUUGUAUUUUUAGUAGAGACGGGGUUUCACCACAUUGGCCAGGCUGGUCUCAAACUCCUGACCUUGUGAUCUGCCCGCCUUGGUCUCCCAUUUUUUUUUUUUUUUUUGAGACAGGGUCUCGCUCUGUCACCCGGGCUGGUGUGCAAUGGCAUGAUCUCGGCUUACUGCAACCUCCACCUCUUGGGUUCAAGUGAUUCUCAUGCCUCAGCCUCCUGAGUAGCUGGGAUUACAGGUGCAUGCCACCAUGCCCGGCUAAUUUUUGUAUUUUUAGUAAAGAUGGGGUUUCACUAUGUUGCCCAGGCUGGUCUCGAACUCCUGACCUGAGGUGGCCCACCCACCUUGGCCUCCCAAAGUACUGAGAUUACAGGCAUGAGCCACCGUGCCUGGCUACUAGGCAGUGACUUAAUGAACUUUGAGGCCACCACCCUGAUACCAACCCCCCUUCCCUUAGGGCUUGUCACUACCUAAUAUCACAUCUUUUCCUUAUGCAUCUUGUCAUCUGUCUCCUUCCUGAGAACAAAUGCUCCAGCUGGACAGGGAUUUUUGUUUCUUCCACUUCCUGCUGUCUCCCUGUGACCCAGUAGGGUGUCUGGCAUGUAGUAGGUGCUCAAUAAACAUUUGUGGAGGAACUGAAUGAAUGAAUGAAUGAAUGAAUGAUAGUCUCUUCGUCACAGCCCUGUGCAAGGCAGCGGGAUCACCUGCAUUUUAGGAUAAGGAAACUGUGGCACAGGUUGACUGAGAUGCUCAUUGUCACGAUACUCCUGCCAGGGCCAGGAAUUGGGUGGGAGUUUGAGUACCCCAAGUCACCCUCCCUGGGAGGUAGAGGGCCUCACGCUGAAACCAACAGCAAGCGCUCCUCAGAGCAAGCACAGCCCAUGCUGCUGUGAGUCUGCUCACUCUAAACUUCCUGCCUGCCACCUUUCCAGGGGUGAGGUGAGCAUGACAGGCAACAAGCACCUUCAUGUUUAAGAUGGACCUUUUUUUUAUUUUUUUAAGAGAUAGGGUCUUGCUCUGUUGUCCAGGCUGAUGUGCAGUGGCAUAGUUAUAGCUCACUGUUGCCUCGACCUCCUGGGCUCGAGUGAUCCUCCUGCCUCAGCCUCCUGAGUAGCUGGGACUACAGGCAUGUGUCACCAUGCCCACUAAUAUCUAUUUUUUGUAGAGAUGGGGUUUUGCUAUGUUGUCCAGGCUGGUCUUGAACUCAUGGGCUCAAGCAAUCCUCCCACUUUGGCCUCCCAAAAUGCUGGGAUUACAGGUGUGAGCCACUGUGCCUGACUUAAAGUGGACUGCUAACGGCUCUAUUUUUCUGAUUCCUCUUGGGUUGCAGAUAGGGAUGAUGUUGACAGUAGAGCCUGGUGGCGGGAGCACGGAAAUGCCACUAGCCAUGGGACUCUUGAGCACAUUCCUCUACUUCCCUGUGCCUCAGUUCCCUUAUAGGUAAAAUGGGGCCACUUCUGUUGUGUGCGUGAACCAUGGUGAGGACCAAGUGAGUGAGUUUGCAUCUGUGGAGAGCUCCAAGUAGUGCCCGGCUCCCAGGGAGCACUCAGCAAGGGUGAGCUCUCAGCAUCACCCAGCAGAUGACAGCAUCUGGCCAGAAACCACAGCAAGUGUCUGCUAGGGAGGGACCACAACCAGAGCCAACACUGGGGGGGGCCCUGCUGGCUGUCUCCUGGGACUCUGCCCUCCCCCACCCUGGUUCUGUCAGGACCCCAGUGUACAACUCCAGCAGUCACAGCCCAUGUGGAAGGUGCCCUGCAGCUGCACAUGACAGUGGCCCUGCCACCCCUUCCCAUGAAGCUAUGUGCCCUGGAAGCUGACCCCAUUCAUGUUGUGAAACUUUGCUUUCAAUUACAUGUAUAUGCAUGAGUGUACGCAUGCGUGUGUGGGAACUGGACCAUGAUGUUGCAGGUAACAGGUGUUUUUGACUGCAGGUCAUGGUUUAAAAAGUUUGAAAAACAAUUUCCUCCUCCUUGCCAGUGACUGAUUCAUAAACAGACAUGUAAGAGAUUCUGGUCAAUAAAGCCUCAAGGAGUGUGUCACUGGAGGCUACUGGGAACAUGUUCUCUUGCUUAUAAGACAACAAUAGGCCUACUUUUCCCCUGCUGGCUGUGACAAGGCAGACAGUGCCCCAGCUGCUGUUGGCCACCAUCUGCAACCAUGAGGGACCCCAGUCUGUUGAUAACAUCCAUGGAGGAGUGUGGGACCACGAGAAUCACAAGAGCAAUGGAACCGGAGACCUGACUGUUCUGUGCCUGGAGCCCAUGCAGCUCUGAACUUCCACUUACAGAGACUGAGGAGAUCCUUCACUACUUGUGCCCUGGGGGAGGGAGCUGCUAUUACUU